CCUACGGGGGGCAGCAGUGGGGAAUAUUGGGCAAUGGAGGAAACUCUGACCCAGCAAUGCCGCGUGAAUGAAGAAGGUCUUCGGAUUGUAAAGUUCUUUAGUCAGGGAAGAAUAAAAUGACGGUACCUGAAGAAUAAGCUCCGGCUAACUACGUGCCAGCAGCCGCGGUAAUACGUAGGGAGCAAGCGUUGUUCGGAAUGACUGGGCGUAAAGGGUGCGUAGGCGGUUAUACAAGUUAGAAGUGAAAUACCCAGGGCUUAACUCGGGUGCUGCUUCUAAAACUGUAAGACUUGAGUGCAGUAGAGGUUAGUGGAAUUCCUAGUGUAGCGGUGGAAUGCAUAGAUAUCACGCAGAACUCCGAUUGCGAAGGCAGCAUACCGGCGCUCAACUGACGCUCAUGCACGAAAGUGUGGGUAUCGAACAGGAUUAGAUACCCCGGUAGUC
rnacentral:rRNA from 1 species